CUGAAGUUAUCACAGCCUGCCAUUACCACAGUGAACCACCAGGUGGCACAUGUUUCCUGAUAAAACCAAAUCUAGCUUUUCAGAAAGGCCCGUGGAAAAUGAAUUGGCACUAAAAAUGGGAUCGAGAUCAUCCAUCAGAGAACAUCUAUACAUGUUUUUCUUCUUUUGUUUUUUUGGCAAUGUGCCAAGCAGGCAAAUGAAACAAGAAAGCUUGGACAAUCUUUCACAGCAUAGCUGCUACCCAAGUCAAACAGCCCAAGUCACUUUUCAUUCUCCAGCAAACAAGUAUGGAUAGUGUUGUGGUACGUUACAAAAGAAACUGUACAGAAGAUCAUCUCAACACAAAGGAUCCUGGGGGGAUAGGAAACCACGGACAAGGUGACAUGAAGGCGAUCAGUGCCAAGCGGAUUGGAUGCUGAGCACAGGGUGAAGAUGAUGAAGACCUAAUGAUGAUCCACUUCCACAUAAUAAACAGUAA